UCCGAGUUGACCCCGGCAGUCUCCCAUGAGUCCCCGGCAUAACCCGCUGGCAACAUGGAACGAGGGUUGCGCUCGUUGCGGGACUUAACCCAACAUCUCACGACACGAGCUGACGACAGCCAUGCACCACCUGCACACAGGCCACAAGGGAACUGAUAUCUCUACCAGCGUCCUGUGCAUGUCAAACCCAGGUAAGGUUCUUCGCGUUGCAUCGAAUCAAUCCACAUGCUCCACCGCUUGUGCGGGCCCCCGUCGAUUCCUUUGAGUUUCAGCCUUGCGGCCGUACUCCCCAGGCGGGGUACUUCCUGCGUUAGCGCCGGCACCCAAGGGGUCGCUCCCCCAGGCACCUAGUACCCAUCGUUUACGGCGUGGACUAC
rnacentral:misc_RNA from 1 species